GUCCACGCCCUAAACGGUGCACACUAGGUCUUGGAGGAUUCGACCCCUUCAGGGCCCAAGCUAACGCGUUAAGUGUGCCGCCUGAGGACUACGGCCGCAAGGCUAAAACUCAAAGGAAUUGACGGGGGCCCGCACAAGCGGUGGAGCAUGUGGCUCAAUUCGAUGCAACGCGAAGAACCUUACCAGGCCUUGACAUGCACUAGACAGACGCUGAAAGGCGUUCUCCCUUCGGGGCUGGUGCACAGGUGCUGCAUGGCUGUCGU
rnacentral:rRNA from 1 species